GACGAAGGGGGCUAGCGUUGUUCGGAAUUACUGGGCGUAGAGCGCGUGUAGGUGGUUGUCCAAGUUGGAUGUGAAAGCCUUGAGCUCAACUCAAGAAAUGCAUUCAGGACUGGAUGGCUAGAGGACCGGAGAGGAUAGUGGAAUUCCCAGUGUAGUGGUGAAAUACGUAGAGAUUGGGAAGAACACCAGUGGCGAAGGCGGCUAUCUGGACGGUUUCUGACACUAAGACUCGAAAGCGUGGGGAGCAAACAGG
rnacentral:rRNA from 1 species